UCCGUAGGGUGCGAGCGUUGUCCGGAAUUACUGGGCGUAAAGAGCUCGUAGGUGGUUUGUCGCGUUGUCCGUGAAAACUCACAACUCAAUUGUGGGCGUGCGGGCGAUACGGGCAGACUGGAGUACUGCAGGGGAGACUGGAAUUCCUGGUGUAGCGGUGGAAUGCGCAGAUAUCAGGAGGAACACCGGUGGCGAAGGCGGGUCUCUGGGCCGAUACUGACGCUGAGGAGCGAAAGCGUGGGGAGCGAACAGG
rnacentral:rRNA from 1 species